rnacentral:lncRNA from 1 species
CCAGCCUUGGUCCAUAGAGCCUUUUCCUACAGAAGGGUCCCAAUGGCAGUUCGGCACUUUGCUCUCCAUGACUCGCCCAGCAACAGGCUGAUGUUUCCAUUGCUGGCAUCUUCCCAGCACUGCCUGGAGUGGUGUUUCCUCUUAUUUAUUUCCUUAAUGGAAACUAGAAGCUAAGAUGGUUAAAUGCAUUCAAAUAGGGCUACUCAGGGAAGCAGACUUGUGAAGGCCAUACCCCUUAAAAAGUGAUCAGAAACCUUUGUUUUGUUUUCUUUUUUUCCUAAAGAUCAGAAAGAGAAGGAGGGAGGGAAGGGAAUAGAGAGAGGGAGAGAGAGAGGCUCCAUUGUCUUGACUUGAGCAGCAGACUAUCCCGUCCUUGCUCAUCAAGAGUGGGCUGCUGGGAUCAUAGAAAUCCAGUUCAGGGAAUUUCCCCCAAAGAAGGAAGUCAUUAACCAAGAAUCCCCCUCUGUCUUUUAGGGCACGUGAAACAUCAGAAGAAUUGAGAAGACUCUAACAGACAACGUAGUGGUUAAGAGGAGGGGACUCUGAAGUCAGAUUGCCUGGGUUCAAGUCUGACUCCACCACCUGCUGGCUGAGUGGAUCUUUGUGCUGAUUACUCAGCUUCUCUGAAAGGGGUUCCUGAAACACCGAGGCUGGAGGAAUUGUAAGAGCCUACACAACUCACUACUGGGAGACUGCCCCACCUGCAGUCCACCCCAGAGUGGCUCCUCCAUGACCUCUGGCUGCGAUGAGCGGACCUUGCUGUCACAGCGCCAGGUUUUCUUGGCAGUCUGGCCCUGGAGAGGCUGCCAGGGGCUCUGGCAUUUGCUCUUGUUUGUUAUUACGCAAAGUCUUGCUCCACUCCUUGGUGAAAGCUUGCAAACCAAAACUAUCUCAUUUCCCAGCGACAAACAGGUUGAGGGAGGGGGGGAGAAUACCAGGGCGAACACCUUUUGAAAGCACAGCUUUUCCCUGGAUUCUCCGGAAGAGCGUCUUUUCACCCCAGUGUCCACAAGCUCUGACUUUGUUUCUGGGGCCAUUGUGGUUGGCUCUGCCCUCCAAAAAAAGACAUUUCUUGAUGAAUUUUUCCUCCCUGUUCUUCUCUCCUUCAGUGGGGUUCCCCUCCUCCAUCUCCACCAUCUUUUUAAAAGGAUGAGGCUAACAUGUUUUUUUCAAAUAAAUGGAUGUUCCCAUUUAUGGUUAGACUCUGGAGUGCCUAAUCUACCAUUUACCUGUUGUGUGACAGAGGGCAAGUUACUUAACCUCUCUGAGCCUGAGUUUUCUCCAGUGAUUAAAACAGUACCUACUGCACAGGGUGGUCGUGAGAAGUCAAUGUGGGGCAACUCUCUCACUCCAUGCGAAUAUUUGGGAAUAGUUUACAAUUAAUACAGAAAGCAGAUUCUUAUCCUCCAGUGAGAUAGGAAUGGUUUUCCCUUUAGAAACACCUUCUAGCACUUUAGACACCAACAUAGGCUCUCUCCAGUUUUGUGCAAGA